GGUUGAUCCUGCCGGACCUGACUGCUAUCGGAUUGAUACUAAGCCAUGCGAGUCAUUGUAGCAAUACAAGGCAGACGGCUCAGUAACGCGUAGUCAACCUAACCUAUGGACGGGAAUAACCUCAGGAAACUGAGAAUAAUGCCCGAUAGAACACUAUACCUGGAAUGGUUUGUGUUCCAAAUGAUUUAUCGCCGUAGGAUGGGACUGCGGCCUAUCAGUUUGUUGGUGAGGUAAUGGCCCACCAAGACUAUUACAGGUACGGGCUCUGAGAGGAGUAGCCCGGAGAUGGGUACUGAGACACGGACCCAGGCCCUAUGGGGCGCAGCAGGCGAGAAAACCUUGCAAUGUGCGAAAGCACGACAAGGUUAAUCCGAGUGAUUUGUGCUAAACGAAUCUUUUGUUAGUCCUAGAACCACUAACGAAUAAGGGGUGGGCAAGUUCUGGUGUCAGCCGCCGCGGUAAAACCAGCACCUCAAGUGGUCAGGAUGAUUAUUGGGCCUAAAGCAUCCGUAGCCGGCUCUGUAAGUUUUCGGUUAAAUCUGUACGCUUAACGUACAGGCUGCCGGGAAUACUGCAGAGCUAGGGAGUGGGAGAGGUAGACGGUACUCGGUAGGAAGGGGUAAAAUCCUUUGAUCUAUUGAUGACCACCUGUGGCGAAGGCGGUCUACCAGAACACGUCCGACGGUGAGGGAUGAAAGCUGGGGGAGCAAACCGGAUUAGAUACCCGGGUAGUCCCAGCUGUAAACUAUGCAAACUCAGUGAUGCAUUGACUUGUGGUCAAUGCAGUGCUGCAGGGAAGCCGUUAAGUUUGCCGCCUGGGAAGUACGUACGCAAGUAUGAAACUUAAAGGAAUUGGCGGGGGAGCACCACAAGGGGUGAAGCCUGCGGUUCAAUUGGAGUCAACGCCGGG
rnacentral:rRNA from 1 species